rnacentral:rRNA from 1 species
CCCUUAGAUGUUCUGGGCCGCACGCGCGCUACACUGACGGAGUCAACGAGUUGUCCUGCAUCGGAAGGUGUGGGUAAUCUUUUGAAACUUCGUCGUGCUGGGGAUAGAUCUUUGCAAUUCUCGAUCUUGAACGAGGAAUUCCUAGUAAGCGUGAUUCAUCAGAUCGCGUUGAUUACGUCCCUGCCCUUUGUACACACCGCCCGUCGCUACUACCGAUUGAAUGGUUUAGUGAGGCCUCGGGACUGGCGCGCUCGAGUAGCAAUACACCUGCGCGCCGGGAACUUGGUCAAACUUGAUCAUUUAGAGGAAGUAAAAGUCGUAACA